rnacentral:rRNA from 1 species
GUAGGGGGCAAGCGUUGUCCGGAUUUAUUGGGCGUAAAGCGCUCGCAGGUGGUCCGUCGCGUCGUGCGUGAAAUACCCCGGCUCAACUGGGGGGGGUCGUGCGAUACGGGCGGACUGGAGGCCAGUAGGGGGAUGCGGAAUUCCGGGUGUAGUGGUGGAAUGCGUAGAGAUCCGGAGGAACACCAGCGGCGAAGGCGGCAUCCUGGACUGGUCCUGACACUCAGGAGCGAAAGCGUGGGGAGCGAUCCGGAUUAGAUACCCGGGUAGUCCACGCCGUAAACGAUGAGCACUAGGUGUCGGGGGUAUCGACCCCCUCGGUGCCGCAGCUAACGCGAUAAGUGCUCCGCCUGGGGACUACGGCCGCAAGGCUA